CGGGUGACGAGCGGCGGACGGGUGAGUAAUGUCUGGGAAACUGCCUGAUGGAGGGGGAUAACUACUGGAAACGGUAGCUAAUACCGCAUAACGUCGCAAGACCAAAGUGGGGGACCUUCSGGCCUCAUGCCAUCAGAUGUGCCCAGAUGGGAUUAGCURGUAGGUGGGGUAACGGCUCACCUAGGCGACGAUCCCUAGCUGGUCUGARAGGAUGACCAGCCACACUGGAACUGARACACGGUCCAGACUCCUACGGGAGGCAGCAGUGGGGAAUAUUGCACAAUGGGCGCAAGCCUGAUGCAGCCAUGCCGCGUGUGUGAAGAAGGCCUUCGGGUUGUAAAGCACUUUCAGCGGGGAGGAAGGSGGUGAGGUUAAUAACCUCAUCGAUUGACGUUACCCGCAGAAGAAGCACCGGCUAACUCCGUGCCAGCAGCCGCGGUAAUACGGAGGGUGCAAGCGUUAAUCGGAAUUACUGGGCGUAAAGCGCACGCAGGCGGUCUGUCAAGUCGGAUGUGAAAUCCCCGGGCUCAACCUGGGAACUGCAUUCGAAACUGGCAGGCUAGAGUCUUGUAGAGGGGGGUAGAAUUCYAGGUGUAGCGGUGAAAUGCGYAGAGAUCUGGAGGAAUACCGGUGGCGAASGCGGCCCCCUGGACAAAGACUGACGCUCAGUGCGAAAGCGUGKGGAGCARASAGGAUUAGAUACCCUGGUAGUCCACGCUGUAAACGAUGUCGAUUUGGAGGUUGUGCCCUUGAGGCGUGGCUUCYGGAGCUAACGYGUUAAAUCGACCGCCUGGGGAGUACGGCCGCAAGGUUAAAACUCAAAUGAAUUGACGGGGGCCCGCACAAGCGGUGGAGCAUGUGGUUUAAUUCGAUGCAACGCGAAGAACCUUACCUGGUCUUGACAUCCACAGAACUUUCCAGAGAUGGAUUGGUGCCUUCGGGAACUGUGAGACAGGUGCUGCAUGGCUGUCGUCAGCUCGUGUUGUGAAAUGUUGGGUUAAGUCCCGCAACGAGCGCAACCCUUAUCCUUUGUUGCCAGCGGUYMGGCCGGGAACUCAAAGGAGACUGCCAGUGAUAAACUGGAGGAAGGUGGGGAUGACGUCAAGUCAUCAUGGCCCUUACGACCAGGGCUACACACGUGCUACAAUGGCAUAUACAAAGAGAAGCGACCUCGCGAGAGCAAGCGGACCUCAUAAAGUAUGUCGUAGUCCGGAUUGGAGUCUGCAACUCGACUCCAUGAAGUCGGAAUCGCUAGUAAUCGUAGAUCAGAAUGCUACGGUGAAUACGUUCCCGGGCCUUGUACACACCGCCCGUCACACCAUGGGAGUGGGUUGCAAAAGAAGUAGGUAGCUUAACCUUCGGGAGGGCGCUUACCACUUUGUGAUUCAUGA
rnacentral:rRNA from 1 species